AGAAAACGAACGCUUGAGCCGUUAGUAGAGUGUCCGUAAGCUCUGUACAAGACGAUUAAAGGAUAACGUGAACUGCUUAUCAGAGAUAGUUAUCGUGGGAAUUGCUUAAAAAUUGCUAAGAAGAAAAAUUUAAGACAAACUCGUACUACUCGAUCAUUAGCAACUUGAAGCUGUGCUUCAAGGUCGACAAGAAGCACAGCAGAAGCACGGAAGAGUUAAUAAUAGUGAUUCAUUGUAUAUAUUAUACUAUUACUUUGCAUAUAUUGUAUAACAAAAUGGUUGUAUGUAACGUGCGAUAAACAAAAUGCUUACGACGCUUGACACGACGUAGAAAUUCACUGUUUGACACUAUUUCGGAGGCACUACCGCAGCGGAAUCUUCUCAGUGGAAUGGAGUAUGUAUGAUUCGAUGAAAUAACGGAAUGCGCAAUCAAAAUGAGUUGCAUAAACGCAACGUUAAUGACUAAUAAAACAGUCACACAGGUCACAUAUAGCUAGCAGAUCGGCAUUUUAUUUGAAUAGUAUUUAGUACGGGAAAGAUAAGUCGAUUAAUGAAACGUAAUAUGUAUCUAUUUUGUCUGCGGCUAUGCUCGCUUGCACGGUUCUACCGACUAACUGUCUAGGAAGAAUAUUAUCCCCAGAGUACUGGAUUUAACUGAGGGAUCUGAUCGAUGCAGAGUGAUGCGCAGCUCUGUAGGUGUCGCCGUCAGUAUUGGAUACUUACUGAUUAAACAAAACACUAUUGCAAGGCAAUUAAAAAUGACUAGAAUACGUAGUAACAAACAACUACAAAGCAAAGAAUGGUAAUUCAGAUAUUUAUUUUGAAUAAUAGCUAAAAUGCGGUCUACAGUAGCGUUACAAAAUCCGUUAGUAGAUCAGACUCCAGGAUGUCGACAUUUUUCCUACUAAACCCAGAUUCCAUAGCGUUUAUCUAGUGCAUAUCGUGCAAAAAGAAAAUGUCAUU